UACGUAGGGGGCUAGCGUUGUCCGGAAUCAUUGGGCGUAAAGAGCGUGUAGGCGGCCCGGUAAGUCCGCUGUGAAAGUCAAGGGCUCAACCCUUGAAUGCCGGUUGAUACUGUCGGGCUAGAGUCCGGAAGAGGCAAGUGGAAUUCCCGGUGUAGCGGUGGAAUGCGUAGAGAUCGGGAAGAACAUCAGUGGCGAAGGCGGCCUGCUGGGCGUGGUGCUGACGCUGACGGCGCGAGCAGCG
rnacentral:rRNA from 1 species